rnacentral:lncRNA from 1 species
GCUCCGCACUAUACAUAGCAUUCAAAUGGAUUGUUUAAACAAUUAUACUCGAUAAUACAAAUUUGGACAAUUAUAAGUUUAUUCAACCAACAAUUUCAUAACUCUUGGAACCGCUGACAUACACGAGGAUGAUUGGAACCGCUGCACAUCCUUACAACGCAGUAUUAGGAAACAAACCAGGGUAUAACAAUUGGUGCACCGGAUGACCUGAACUAUGUGAUCCAAUCAACCACAAACCCCAACGCAUCUUCCAUCAAAAGGAAGCUGCAGCGUUAAGGUCGGCACGCUAGGGUUAUCAGCUCAGAGCUUCCGAUGCGAUUCACAGAACAGUAGAGAAAAAAAAAAUCGGAAAUGCUACCGAAGGACAGCGACGGGAUCCCCUGCUGCUGCUCUUAUGAUUUGCACGAGCUCCGUCGCGCGCCGACCACGACGCUGCUACUUCUCUUUCUUCUCAUUUGCACUAGCUAAACUCUUCGUUCUCAUGCAUACAGCAGAGGUGCGACGACGAUGACAGCGGCUGGGGGGGGGGGGGGGGGGAUGAUGACAACAGCGAGGACGGUGAUGACGGCGACGACUGCGCCAACAAUGGCAGCAGCGGUGGCCGAUAGCAGCUAGCGGCGGUCAACGGCAGUUGCAGCGUCAAUGACAACUACGACGGCUGCAACGGCGACGGCGACGGCGACGUUGGCGACGAUGAGAAUUUGUUAACGAUGAUAUGACACUGUUUAUAAUACCAUUAGUAACAGAUAUGAUACUGUUCAGGUGUGAUAUCUAGUAUAUGUGAGAUACUAUAUUACUAGAAAAGGUAACAUGUUACCUGAGCAGGCGACUGCGACGACGACGACAACGUUGGCAACGACGAGAAUUUGUUAAUGAUGAUAUGACACUGUUUAUAAUACCAUUAGUAGUAGAUAUAAUACUAUUCAGGAGUGAUAUCUGCUAUAUGUGAGAUACUAUAUUACUAGGAAAGGUAACAUGUUACCUGAGCAUGCUACCUUAAAAUAUCAUACACGAUACAUGUGAGUUACCAUAUUAUCUGGACUUGGUAACACGCCUAAUACAUUUGAGGUACAACAUGAGAAGUAUCAUAUUAACAUGUCUAGAGCUUAUUUCGUUGCUGGCAGCCCAAAAAAAAUCGCCAAUUUUUCGACGGCCUAUCCUGCGACCGCGACCAGCGAGAAAACUACGAGGCUACAAAAUUUGGCCGCCCGCGGCUACAAGGACGAAGCGGAGGGACGAACGAAACCUGCAGCUCGCCGCGGACCAUGAGGGAGACGUUGGCGAAGAGCUCGGCAAGCGAAUCCGCCAGCUCGUCUCGCUCCCCCGGCGCUGGAGCCGGAGCCGCGCCCGACAUCUACGGCGGCCGNN